CCUACGUGCGGCAGCAGUGAGGAAUAUUGGUCAAUGGGCGCGAGCCUGAACCAGCCAAGUAGCGUGAAGGAUGACUGCCCUACGGGUUGUAAACUUCUUUUAUAAAGGAAUAAAGUGAGCCACGUGUGCCUUUUUGUAUGUACUUUAUGAAUAAGGAUCGGCUAACUCCGUGCCAGCAGCCGCGGUAAUACGGAGGAUCCGAGCGUUAUCCGGAUUUAUUGGGUUUAAAGGGAGCGUAGAUGGGUUGUUAAGUCAGUUGUGAAAGUUUGCGGCUCAACCGUAAAAUUGCAAUUGAUACUGGCAGUCUUGAGUACAGUUGAGGUAGGCGGAAUUCGUGGUGUAGCGGUGAAAUGCUUAGAUAUCACGAAGAACUCCGAUUGCGAAGGCAGCUUACUAAACUGCCACUGACAUUGAUGCUCGAAAGUGUGGGUAUCAAACAGGAUUAGAUACCCCAGUAGUC
rnacentral:rRNA from 1 species